CCCUACUGCUAUCGGGGUGGAACUAAGACAUGCUAGUCGAGCGCCUUGAGCUAUGGCGAGGCGCGGCGUACAGCUCAGUAACACGUGGCUAACCUACCCUUAGGACGGGGACAACCCCGGGAAACUGGGGCUAAUACCAGAUAGGUGAGGAGGCCUGGAAUGGUUCUUUGUCGAAAAGGCGUUGAAACCAUGCUUUUCGACGUCGCCUAAGGAUGGGGCCGCGUCCGAUCAGGUUGUUGGUGGGGUAACGGCUCACCAAGCCUAUAACCGGUACGGGCCGUGAGAGCGGGAGCCCGGAGAUGGGCACUGAGAUAAGGGCCCAGGCCCUACGGGGCGCAGCAGUCGCGAAAACUCCGCAAUGCGCGAAAGCGUGACGGGGCUAUCCCGAGUGCCGUCCGCUGAGGAUGGCUUUUCCCCGGUGUAAUGAGCCGGGGGAAUAAGGAGAGGGCAAGACUGGUGUCAGCCGCCGCGGUAAUACCAGCUCUCCGAGUGGUAGGGAUGAUUAUUGGGCUUAAAGCGUCCGUAGCCGGCUUAGAAAGUCUCCUGUUAAAUUCAGCGACCUAAUCGUUGAGCCGCGGGAGAUACUACUAGGCUAGGAGGCGGGAGAGGCCGACGGUAUUCUCGGGGUAGGGGUGAAAUCCUAUAAUCCCGGGAGGACCACCAGUGGCGAAGGCUGUCGGCUAGAACGCGCUCGACGGUGAGGGACGAAAGCUGGGGGAGCGAACCGGAUUAGAUACCCGGGUAGUCCCAGCUGUAAACGAUGCGGGCUAGGUGUUGGGGUGGCUACGAGCCACUUCAGUGCCGCAGGGAAGCCAUUAAGCCCGCCGCCUGGGGAGUACGGUCGCAAGGCUGAAACUUAAAGGAAUUGGCGGGGGAGCACCACAAGGCGUGAAGCUUGCGGU
rnacentral:rRNA from 1 species